rnacentral:rRNA from 1 species
GUGGGGAAUAUUGCACAAUGGGCGAAAGCCUGAUGCAGCGACGCCGCGUGAGGGAUGACGGCCUUCGGGUUGUAAACCUCUUUCAGCAGGGACGAAGCGAGAGUGACGGUACCUGCAGAAGAAGCGCCGGCCAACUACGUGCCAGCAGCCGCGGUAAGACGUAGGGCGCGAGCGUUGUCCGGAUUUAUUGGGCGUAAAGAGCUCGUAGGCGGCUCGUUGCGUCAACCGUGAAAACCCGGGGCUUAACUUCGGGCUUGCGGUUGAUACGGGCGGGCUGGAGUUCGGUAGGGGAGACUGGAAUUCCUGGUGUAGCGGUGAAAUGCGCAGAUAUCAGGAGGAACACCGGUGGCGAAGGCGGGUCUCUGGGCCGAUACUGACGCUGAGGAGCGAAAGCGUGGGGAGCGAACAGGAUUAGAUACCCUAGUAGUCC